GCCUCCGUGGUGAAAUUGGUAGACACACUGGUUUUAGGAACCAGCGCGUAAAGCUUGUCGGUUCGAGUCCGACCGAAGGCA
rnacentral:tRNA from 1 species